rnacentral:misc_RNA from 1 species
UACGAAGGUGGCAAGCGUUACUCGGAAUUACUAGGCGUAAAGGGCAGGUAGGUGGUCUGAUUAGUCUGUUGUGGAAGCUCCCGGCUUAACUGGGAGAGGUCAACGGAUACUGUCAGGCUUGAGUAUAGGAGAGGGUACUGGAAAUCCCGGUGUAGCGGUGAAAUGCGCAGAUAUCGGGAGGAACACCAAUGGCGAAAGCAGGUGCCUGGACUAUUACUGACACUCAGCUGCGAAAGCUAGGGGAGCAAACAGG